rnacentral:rRNA from 1 species
CCUACGGGGGGCUGCAGUGGGGGAUAUUGCACAGUGGAGGAAACUCUGAUGCAGCAACGCCGCGUGAGGGAAGAAGGUCUUCGGAUUGUAAACCUCUGUCCUCAGGGACGAUAAUGACGGUACCUGAGGAGGAAGCUCCGGCUAACUACGUGCCAGCAGCCGCGGUAAUACGUAGGGGGCAAGCGUUGUCCGGAUUUACUGGGGAGGAAGGGAGCGUAGGCGGCCCUGCAAGUCAGGUGUGAAAACUAUGGUCUUAACUCAUAGAUUGCACUUGAAACUGUGGGGAUUGAGUGGAGUAGAGAAAGGCGGAAUUCUCGGUGUAGCUGUGAAAAGCGUAGAGAGCGGGAAGAAUGACAGUGGCGAAGGUGGCGUGCUUGGAUUUAACUGAGGCUGGGGCGCGAAAGCGUGGGUAGCUAACAAGAUUAGGUACACGAGUAGUC